rnacentral:rRNA from 1 species
AUGCUGCAACAUCUGGAUCUUCAGGAUGAUGAGUUGGAUGACGUGGUUGUAGGGGAGGAGGAUCUGAGGAAGUAUGAGGCAGAUGCAAGGUGGCUAGCAAUUGGAAAGGUAAACACGACCAUGCAAUUUAGCUCAUCGUCGAUGUUCGAAACUAUGAAGUCGGUAUGGGGGCUAGCGCAUGUACCCAAGUACAGAGAGGCUGGCGAGAACCUUUAUAUCUUCCAGAUGUUUUGCUUAGGGGAUUGGAAGAAGGUUGUUCAUGGAGGGCCUUGGUUGUUUAGAGGGAUGGGGAUGCUUAUUUAAGACUACGAUGGCAAACAGGAACCAGAUUCCUAUGUGUUUGAUGGCCUUUACGUUUGGGCUCAGAUUCACAACAUACCAGAGCUUUACAGGAAGAUUGAGGUAGUGGAUCAAUUAGCACAACGCAUUGGUCAGGUCAAGGAAACCCAGCUCUCUCUGAGGCUCUUUUAUGAGGGAGAU